GCAUUGGUGGUUCAGUGGUAGAAUUCUCGCCUGCCACGCGGGAGAAGCGGGUCUGAUUCCCGGCCAAUGCA
rnacentral:tRNA from 1 species